rnacentral:lncRNA from 1 species
GCCCGCCUGCUCCAGCCCUUCCACAAAGCGGGAGAAGGGAUCGAGUUGAUCAGAAAACUACUUGGCCGGGGGACGCCCAGAGACCCCCGUUAUGACCCACACAAUGGAAAGUGGCCGGCGCUGCCCGAGCCUCGAAGCCAGAGGAAGAAAACGGCAAGACGCUGAUGGAGGGAGAGGUAAAUUUAAAAUUGCACAUCAGGGGCAGCUAGAUGCACAGUGGAUAGAGCACCAGCCCCAAAGUCAGGAGGACCCGAUUUCAAAUCCGACUUCAGACACUUAAUACUUCUACCUGUGCGACUCUAGGCAAGUCACUGAACCCCAAUUGUCUCAGCAUAAAUAAAAAAAUAAAAUCACAUCUCACAGGCAACAAGAUCUGGAUUCAAAUUCUAUACACAUAAUAGCUAAGUGUGAUCAAGGACAAGUCUAACUCGGUGUGUACAGUAAGAUUGAGUCAACAGCUGAGUUGUUUACCUGCAUCUGUGGAGAUAAUUUCUAUAUUUAUGCAAAUUACAAGACCAG